UGGGGAAUAUUGCACAAUGGAGGGAACUCUGAUGCAGCGACGCCGCGUGAACGAAGAAGGCUUUCGAGUCGUAAAGUUCUUUUAUAUGGGAAGAUAAUGACGGUACCAUAAGAAGAAGCCCCGGCUAACUACGUGCCAGCAGCCGCGGUAAUACGUAGGGGGCUAGCGUUGACCGGAAUCACUGGGCGUAAAGGGUUCGCAGGCGGAAAUGCAAGUCAGGUGUAAAAGGCAGUAUCUUAACUACUGUAAGCAUUCGAAACUGCAUAUCUUGAGAAGAGUAGAGGUAAGUGGAAUUUUUAGUGUAGCGGUGAAAUGCGUAGAUAUUAAAAAGAAUACCGGUGGCGAAGGCGACUUACUGGGCUCAUUCUGACGCUGAGGAACGAAAGCGUGGGUAGCAAACAGG
rnacentral:rRNA from 1 species